UACGGGGGGAGCAAGCGUUGUUCGGAAUUACUGGGCGUAAAGGGCUCGUAGGCGGCCAACUAAGUCGGAUGUGAAAUCCCCAGGCUUAACCUGGGAACUGCAUCCGAUACUGGAUGGCUUGAAUCCGGGAGAGGGAUGCAGAAUUCCAGGUGUAGCGGUGAAAUGCGUAGAUAUCUGGAGGAAUACCGGUGGCGAAGGCGGCAUCCUGGACCGGCAUUGACGCUGAGGAGCGAAAGCUGGGGGAGCAAACGGG
rnacentral:rRNA from 1 species